UUUUUUUUUCCAUCUUUUUAGAUUUUACUCAAAACAAUCGGAUCCAAGGAUUUCUUCUCUUUUUAUCCCAAACCAUCUAUCCAUGGAGAUAGCUAUCGAAAUCUCUAUUGAGAUAAUUCUCUUUUAAUCAGGUUAUCAAAUACUAUAAGUUAUGAGAAUGGGCUGCCAAAAAAUCAUUAGAAAACCUCUGGAGAUAAUCGACACACCUACCUGCCUGGAUUACUAAGCUAUUUAAGAGGCCACAAAUUGUUGACUCGGACCUUAAGGUAAUGUACGUGGCAUUUUUAUUUAAUUUUAUCACUAAAGCAUCCAUGUUUGCAAGUUUUGUGUUUGGAUUAUGGUUCCCCCUAUGAACUAUUAUCCUGGAAAUACCACUAUGCACGAGCUUUCAAAACGGAAGCAUUCUAAAGACGGCAUAUAAUAGUGUUCAAAAGGCGAUGUAGCCAUUUACAGGUAUAUAAAAGGGACCUUUUCCAUAAGGCACUGCUAUUUUUAGCAUGUGUAGCCAAAACUUGAAAAUCUAAGUUUAUAACUUUAUAUGCCUUAUUGUGGAUUAUCUAUGACGUAGAGUAGUGUUUGUAUGAUUGACUAAUGUUUUCUGGGUGUUUGUUUCCAGCAUCAGUAUGGUAGCUAAAAAUGAGGCCGAGUACUAAAAGAACUAUUUCCAUGUUUAGAGUGUGAAAAAAAAAAGAUGACAUGACCCUUACGAACAACCACCUGAACGUCAUUUCGAGAAUCUUUAUGUUGAGCUGGCGUCAUAUCAUAGUUGCUGGCUGUCAAGUUAAGGUGGCUUCUCGGGCUCGAGCAGAUAUCCUUGGGCAGGAUCUUUUACUUCAGGGCAGGGUUGGUUAAGCAUAAGUAGUCGGUGCCACUGUGUCAAUUGAUACUUGAUCAUCAUCUUAUGGUGAAACUCCUGGAAGUGGAAGGAAAACGUCUAAAGCCCCGAGUGUUGUUGCUGAGUCAGUAGAAAUGAAUACAGCUCCCGAACAGGAAGCGGAGGAUAGAAGUUUGUAUGAGAGAUCAGAUGAAUCAACAUAUGAGAUUUCUGAUUUUGUUUAUGAAAAUGAUAUAGGGGAGUUGACUGAGUAUGAAUUUAACAAGGCGCUUGGACAUCUUUAUCAUUUAUUAAUCCUAAUGUUAUGAAGCCGAUGUAAGCGCCUCUUACAAGUGAAGAGUUAUGGUGGAAUUGGAGGAAACCUGAUAAAGGACAAUGGUCCAGGUGCUCCUGAUGCUGAAACCUAUAGCGAAUAUCUAUAAGUAAUCUUUUCUAACACAUUUACCUAUAAUGGUGAACUUGAGUAAUAUAUUUAUCCCAAGUGGGUCAAAUGGGUACAUUGAAUAAGUUGGCAAUAUUAAAUAGGUUCAGCUUGUAUAAAGUCGCCCAAAGUGUCCCCAAUGUGACUUUUAUGACCCAUUAGUUAAUCAGAUUAUUAUUUUCUUAGCGUAGUUUUUAUAAUCACGUUUAAUGCAAGAACUUUGUGAAAAUUCAGAAAAAUCAUGUGCCGGUGAUCUGACCCACUCAUGUAUCAAAAAUAUCUGUCUUACCUUAAUUAACUCACUUGAUCUGCCCAGUUUGUCA